rnacentral:tRNA from 1 species
AGCUGAGUGGCGCAGUGGAAGCGAACUGGGCCCAUAACCCAGAGGUCCGAGGAUCGAAACCUUGCUCUGCUA